AGGGUGCGAGCGUUAAUCGGAAUUACUGGGCGUAAAGCGAGCGCAGACGGUUACUUAAGCAGGAUGUGAAAUCCCCGGGCUUAACCUGGGAACUGCGUUCUGAACUGGGUAGCUAGAGUAUGUCAGAGGGGGGUAGAAUUCCACGUGUAGCAGUGAAAUGCGUAGAGAUGUGGAGGAAUACCGAUGGCGAAGGCAGCCCCCUGGGAUAAUACUGACGUUCAUGCUCGAAAGCGUGGGUAGCAAACAGGAUUAGAUACCCUGGUAGUCCACGCCCUAAACGAUGUCAAUUAGCUGUUGGGCAACUUGAUUGCUUAGUAGCGUAGCUAACGCGUGAAAUUGACCGCCUGGGGAGUACGGUCGCAAGAUUAAAACUCAAAGGAAUUGACGGGGACCCGCACAAGCGGUGGAGCAUGUGGUUUAAUUCGACGCAACGCGAGGAACCUUACCAGAUCUUGAC
rnacentral:rRNA from 1 species